CGACACAACACUACAAUGUAACACACACAGAAACGGACCAAGCAACAGACAAAAUCCCACGAGAAUAUCAAAUAUAACAUCAAAACCAAAUACAUAAAUUUGGGAUAGACAAGUACCGUGACACGUCUUAUCGCAAUGUGAAUUUACACUCAAAAAUAAGAGAAAACAAACGACGCAACGUUAAAAUGUAACACAUACAGAAACGAACUAUAAUAUAACAAUGGCCAUAUUCCUGACUUGGUACAGAACAUUUUUGAAGAAAAAAAAUGGCGGGUUGAACCUGGUUUUGUGGCAUGCCAAACCUCCCCUUUUAUAGCCAUGUGAAAUAUAACAUUAAGAUGACAACUCAACACCACAGGAC
rnacentral:lncRNA from 1 species